UACGUAGGGUGCAAGCGUUGUCCGGAAUUAUUGGGCGUAAAGAGCUUGUAGGCGGUUUGUCGCGUCUGCUGUGAAAUUUCGGGGCUCAACCCCGAACUUGCAGUGGGUACGGGCAGACUAGAGUGUGGUAGGGGAGACUGGAAUUCCUGGUGUAGCGGUGAAAUGCGCAGAUAUCAGGAGGAACACCGAUGGCGAAGGCAGGUCUCUGGGCCACUACUGACGCUGAGAAGCGAAAGCAUGGGAGCGAACAG
rnacentral:rRNA from 1 species